rnacentral:rRNA from 1 species
GACGAACCGUGCGAACGUUGUUCGGAAUCACUGGGCUUAAAGGGCGCGUAGGCGGGCUCACAAGUCAGGGGUGAAAUCCCACGGCUCAACCGUGGAAGUGCCUUUGAUACUGUGGGUCUUGAGGGAGGUAGGGGCGUGCGGAACUUCCGGUGGAGCGGUGAAAUGCGUAGAUAUCGGAAGGAACACCGGUGGCGAAAGCGGCGCGCUGGACCUCUACUGACGCUGAGGCGCGAAAGCC